rnacentral:rRNA from 2 species
UCCGGAAACCGGGGCUAAUACCGGAUGGUUGUUUGAACCGCAUGGUUCAAACAUAAAAGGUGGCUUCGGCUACCACUUACAGAUGGACCCGCGGCGCAUUAGCUAGUUGGUGAGGUAACGGCUCACCAAGGCNACGAUGCGUAGCCGACCUGAGAGGGUGAUCGGCCACACUGGGACUGAGACACGGCCCAGACUCCUACGGGAGGCAGCAGUAGGGAAUCUUCCGCAAUGGACGAAAGUCUGACGGAGCAACGCCGCGUGAGUGAUGAAGGUUUUCGGAUCGUAAAGCUCUGUUGUUAGGGAAGAACAAGUACCGUUCGAAUAGGGCGGUACCUUGACGGUACCUAACCAGAAAGCCACGGCUAACUACGUGCCAGCAGCCGCGGUAAUACGUAGGUGGCAAGCGUUGUCCGGAAUUAUUGGGCGUAAAGGGCUCGCAGGCGGUUUCUUAAGUCUGAUGUGAAAGCCCCCGGCUCAACCGGGGAGGGUCAUUGGAAACUGGGGAACUUGAGUGCAGAAGAGGAGAGUGGAAUUCCACGUGUAGCGGUGAAAUGCGUAGAGAUGUGGAGGAACACCAGUGGCGAAGGCGACUCUCUGGUCUGUAACUGACGCUGAGGAGCGAAAGCGUGGGGAGCGAACAGGAUUAGAUACCCUGGUAGUCCACGCCGUAAACGAUGAGUGCUAAGUGUUAGGGGGU